GAUUAUGGCCAUACCACCCUGUCUGCGCCCGAUCUCAUCUGAUUUCAGAAGCUAAGCAGGGUCGGUCCUGGCUAGUACUUGGAUAGGAGUCUGCCUGGGAAUACCAGCUGCUGUAAGCU
rnacentral:rRNA from 1 species